UGGGGAAUAUUGGACAAUGGAGGAAACUCUGAUCCAGCAAUUCUGGGUGUGUGAAGAAGGUUUUAGGACUGUAAAACACUUUUAGUAGGGAAGAAAAAAAUGACGGUACCUACAGAAGAAGCAACGGCUAAAUACGUGCCAGCAGACGCGGUAAUACGUAUGUAGCGAGCGAUAUCCGGAAUUAUUGGGCUUAAAGGGCAUCUAGGCGGUAAUACAAGUUGAAGUUGAAAACCUGUGGCUCAACCAUAGGCUUGCCUACAAAACUGUAUAACUAGAGUACUGGUGAGGUGUGUGGAAGUACUCAAGUAGAGAUUAAAUUCGUAGAUAUGUGUAGGAAUACCGAUGAUGAAGAUACCUCACUGGACAGAAUCUGACGCUGUAGUGCGAUAGCUAGCGGAGCAAACAGG
rnacentral:rRNA from 1 species